CUUGGUGACAAUAGCAUUGUGGUCCCACCUGAUCCCAUCCCGAACUCAGUAGUGAAACGCAAUAGCGCCGAUGAUAGUGUGGGGUCUCCCCAUGUGAAAGUAGGUCAUCGCCAAGC
rnacentral:rRNA from 1 species